UUGUGGUAUAACAAAAGAAAGAGAUGGAACGAAGUUUUGGACAAUAUCCAUCUCUCUCACUAUAAUGCGUAAGCGUGUUAUGAAAGAGAUAGCACUAGUCCGAAACCAUAUGCCAUCUCCCUCACUUUUCGAGCCAAGAAAUUAUUACAACGACACGGUGAAGGCACGUCCAUUAAUAUAUGUCUAUGGUGGUUAGUACCUAUUAUCUAUGGUCAGUACGUAUCUAUGGUUUAUGGUAUGUAUUUAUAAUAUGAUUUAUAACCAUAGUUUAUAACGUUUAUAAAUGGUUUAUAAUGAUUUGUUAUAAGUGGCGAACAUAAAAAUCAGCAACAAUGGAUGUAGUCUAUAAUUUGAUUCAUGUGAAGAGAUUUUUUAAAUACUCAAAUGAAGAAAAAAUAGUUUUAAAAUGUAGAGGACGGCCAUUGCCUGAUGUCAUUAUUGAAACUGCAGGUGUUAGUCGUGGAAAAGCAUAUAAGCGAAAAUUUAAUAGAGAAAUUUAUUCAAGGAACAGCUGGAUUUGUGGAUGUAACAAAAAAAAUGCAUUAUUUUGUUUUCCUUGUUUGCUUUUUGGCGGCGAUAAAGCAUGGACGGAGGUAGGUGUGAAAGAUCUAGUGCACUUAAAUGACAAAAUAAAAAGACACGAAAACUCCAAACGUCAUCUUCAUAAUACAAUGGAAUUAACCUUAUUGGGAAGGACUAACAUUAAAGCACAGCUAGAUUCAGCUUAUUGGAUAAAUGUACAAGAACAUAAUGACAACGUGACAAAAAAUAGAUACGUUUUAUCAAAAAUUAUAAACUGUAUAAAGUUUUGCGGGGCCUUUGAAUUGGCAUUGCGAGGACAAGACGAAAUUGAAACCUCUCAAAAUCCAGGAAUAUUUCGUGGUUUGAUAAACUUAUCUGCUGAGCUUAAUGCAACUUUACGUGAGCAUCUACAAAAUGUUUCAGUAUUUAAAGAGCACUCUACAGAUAUACAAAAUGACCUUUUAGACUGCAUCCUAGAAGUAUGUCAUGAAGAAAUAAUUAAAGAAAUAAACAAAUCUUCCUUUUUAGCAGUUAUGGCGGAUGAAAUAGCUGAUGUAUCUGCAAAAACUCAAUUAGCGGUAAUUUUAAGAUAUACCGUAGAUGGCGAACCGAUUGAACGUUUUUGGAAGUAUCUAAAUCCUACAAAAUGGGAUGCUGAAACUCUUUCGGAAAAUAUCUUCAGUAUUAUAGAUCCUCUAAUAAAAAAUUCACCAUACAAACUAAUUUCGCAAAGUUAUGAUGGAGGAGAGGUAAUGAGUGGUCAACAUGCAGGAGUACAAGCAAAAAUUAGGCAAAAGUACUCUUGUGCUCAUUUUGUACACUGCUAUGCACACCAAUUAAACUUAAUUAUAUCUAAAGCUGCUUCCAUAAAUUCUCAAGUGCGUGUGUUUUUUGGAAAUCUGAAAGAGAUUCCUACAUUUUUUAAUAACUCACCACAACAAGUUGAAGUGCUAAAUGAAAUUGUGAGAAGAAAAAAUCCCCAAGUUGUUAUGUCUUCCUGCAAUUUUAAUAUAAGGACCAUUAAUGUUGUAUUUGAAAACAGAGAUUCUCUUAUAGAAUGUAUGGAAGAAAUAGAAGAACAAUUUAAUAAUGAAACUGUGUGUAGUGCAGCUUCCUCUAUUCGGCGUAUGCUAGAAGAUUCUGUUUUUGUUUUUUGGUUAACUUUUUUUCAUCACCUAAUGCCCCAUGUCGACAUUUUAUUUAAUCAGCUGCAGAAGGGAAGUAUUGAUCCAAUUGAGGUAGAAACUGCUGUUCAUAAUUUCGAGAAAGGCAUUAAUCAUAUUCGGAAUAAUAUUGAUGACAUCAUUAUUGAAGCCUCAUCAAAUGUCUGCACGGAGCCUCAAGAAAAAAAAAUAAAACGCGCACAUAUCGGUAGAUUUAAUCACCGCAUUGCCGCCCUGGAAAUUUGUGAUCUUAUUACGAAUUCCGCAAAAGAUAGAUUUAUGUUUAAUGACCAUCUACUAGCUGCUUCUCUGUUUUUUUCUGAGCAUUUUGGAGAGUAUUGGAGUAAGUUUCCUGAUGACAAGUUGGCAACUACUUGCAUAGCUUACCCCACACUUGAAAAGGAGCGACUUAGAACAGAGCUAUCUGUUAUUUAUUCAAGAAACGACUGUAAAGAUUUAAGUGGUAUAUUACCCCUUUUGAAAUUUUUAAUACAAAAUAAUUUAGAAGAAACGUUAAGAGAAAUAAAAAAAUUAUUAGAAAUUAUUGCUACAACACCUAUGUCUACUUUAGAAGCUGAAAGAUGUUUUUCAACUUUAAAAAAGAUCAAGACCUUUCUUCGAAAUUCAGUGUCCCAAGAUCGUUUGACAGCUCUAUCGAUGCUUUCCAUUGAAAAAUUAUUUAUAUCAAAAAUUAAUAGCUUCAAUGAGAAGGUCAUAGACAAGUUUGCUUCUAUGAAGGAUCGCAGGAUUGAAUUAACUUUCAAAAAACAGGAACAUUAUCAAAUGCAUAAAGAAGAAUGUCCACAAAUACACGAUUUUAUGCAGUGUGGCCAGGGAGGACGCUCUGUACAUUCAAAGGGGAAUGACCAAGAUGAAGAAAAAACUACUGAUAAUGUUGUAAAAGAUAAUAAACAAAAAAGGAGUUAUUCGGCUAAAGGUUCAAAAAAUAGUCAUGAUAAAGAAAAACCUGACGUAGAUAGUGAACAAAGGAAUUGCUUAACUGAAGUGACUAUAAAAUGUAGUGAUGCUCAUUCGGAUGAACAAUCGAAUUCUGAAAACUCCGAUACUGAUUUAGAUGAACAUUCGUUUACUUCGAAAGAUAAUAGAGAAAAGAAAAAUUUAAUAAAAUGGAGAGAUGAAGAGAAACAAGCAAUUGAAUUUUUUUUUCAUAAACAUAUCAAACAUAGGAUUUCUCCAAAAAAACAAGAAGUCCUGCAGUUAAUGAAAUUGUAUCCGAACCUAUUCAAAGACCGGAAAUGGGAUCUUAUAAAAAUUUACGUACGCAACAAAUACAACUCUGAAAGUGAAAAUAACACUAUACAAUUCGUCUCAGUGCAAUGCAAAGAGGACGACCACGUAUCUCCUUUUUUAUGUAUGGAUAUUAAGGAAGAACCAACACGUGUUAUGUAUGUAAGACUUUAAUUUUAGUUAUUUAAGAAGUUUACCACUAAAUGGAUAGUAUGAAGGUGAAAGUGGGUAGCAUGAAAUUGAAGUUUUACCUAUCACAUAUACUUAAAGACACGCGGAUUGUUCAAGUUCACUAAAGGUGGAAUGUUUUUGAAAGGAAUAGCCAAGACUUUCAAGAUGAUUAUUCUGAUCAGAUGAAAGUAGAAGAAAAAGAA
rnacentral:misc_RNA from 1 species